rnacentral:rRNA from 1 species
UCCAGACUCCUACGGGAGGCAGCAGUGAGGAAUAUUGGUCAAUGGGAGAGAUCCUGAACCAGCCAAGCCGCGUGAGGGAAGACGGCCCUAUGGGUUGUAAACCUCUUUUGUCGGAGAACAAAACCCGGGACGUGUCCCGGACUGCGUGUAUCCGAAGAAAAAGCAUCGGCUAACUCCGUGCCAGCAGCCGCGGUAAUACGGAGGAUGCGAGCGUUAUCCGGAUUUAUUGGGUUUAAAGGGUGCGUAGGCGGUCCGUUAAUUCAGCGGUAAAAUGGCGGGGCUCAACCCCGUCGAGCCGUUGAAACUGCGUUUCUUGAGUGGGCGAGAAGUACGCGGAAUGCGUGGUGUAGCGGUGAAAUGCAUAGAUAUCACGCAGAACUCCGAUUGCGAAGGCAGCGUACCGGCGCCCAACUGACGCUCAUGCACGAAAGCGUGGGUAUCGAACAGGAUUAGAUACCCGAGUAUC